GUCCGUUUGCAUGCAGAUUGCCGGAUCCGGCAGUGUGAAAGUAGCCUAAAAUGUGUGAAAAAAAGCUAUCCGCCUAUAGAAGAACACAGUAUAUACAGAGAGGCUUUACUCAUCUUUUCGGUGAUUUUCCUAUUUACUAUAAAAGAUAUACAAUAGGCCAAGUUGUGACAAACUAGAGCUAUAUUUAAGGAAUGUUGGAGUUUCUGCAGGAACUAUUCCUAUACAGAUUUCUAUAAGCUUCCAGCUCCUUCAGCAGCUGCUGGUUAUGCAUCUCCAGGAAGGCAUUGUGGCUCUCCAGGCAUCUAAUGUACUCUUUCCUCCUGAGUCGACAUGCCUUCGCUGCUUCCCUGCAAGCGGUGAAAGGCAAAAAUAUCAAAAAAUAAAAUGAUGCAUGCAAUUAAUUAUAUAAAAUACACUAUCUUACAAAGAAUUAAAAUAAUUCAUAUUGUGAUUUACACUCCUGAUUCGUCGGAAACCUAAAUGAACGGGACUUCCUCCCAGACUCAUCGCAGUCCACCUUGGAGUCUGAAAUGCAACCGUUAAGGCCAACGACUCUAACCAAGUC